rnacentral:rRNA from 1 species
UGCCUCGCAGUGGGGAAUAACAGUUGGAAACGACUGCUAAUACCGCAUAAUGCACCGAGAUCGCAUGGUCUUGAUGCCAAAGAUUUAUCGCUGUGAGAUGGCCUCGCGUCUGAUUAGCUAGUUGGUGAGGUAACGGCCCACCAAGGCGACGAUCAGUAGCCGGACUGAGAGGUUGAUCGGCCACAUUGGGACUGAGACACGGCCCAGACUCCUACGGGAGGCAGCAGUGGGGAAUAUUGGGCAAUGGGCGCAAGCCUGACCCAGCAACGCCGCGUGAAGGAAGAAGGCUUUCGGGCUGUAAACUUCUUUUAUUAGGGACGAUAAUGACGGUACCUAUUGAAUAAGCUCCGGCUAACUACGUGCCAGCAGCCGCGGUAAUACGUAGGGAGCAAGCGUUAUCCGGAUUUACUGGGUGUAAAGGGCGUGUAGGCGGGACUGCAAGUCAGAUGUGAAAACUAUGGGCUCAACUCAUAGCCUGCAUUUGAAACUGUAGUUCUUGAGUGCUGGAGAGGCAAAUGGAACUCCUAGUGUAGCGGUGAAAUGCGUAGAUAUUAGGAAGAACACCAGUGGCGAAGGCGAUUUGCUGGACAGUAACUGACGCUGAGGCGCGAAAGUGUGGGGAGCAAACAGGAUUAGAUACCCUGGUAGUCCACACCGUAAACGAUGGAUACUAGGUGUGGGGGGUCUAACCCCCUCCGUGCCGCAG